UAAAAACAAACAAGGGAUAACAUGGCAUGUUCGUCCAUGAACCAGAAUCUGGGUUUUUGACGAGUGGCAGCACACAGAAAAGUAUCGCUUCGAAACUAGGAAUCUUGACCGUUUGUACAUUGUCAUGGAAGUGUGCCAAGUUAACAGGCAUGUCCGUCCUGAAGGAGGAUGUUGUUGCCUAUCCCUCUGUGGCAAAAGUUUUCGGAUCGUUGGAAUUAUUUGUUUUAUACGGGAGCUGUCGACCGAAAAUAUAUUCGCAUCUGGGCUCCGGAAAACUCGGACAACGAGUACUACAAGGGAUGUUUCUCAAUGAUCCUGAGUUCAGUCUGCGAUGUGAAGUACCGCUUCACCAUGAUCAACGUGGGGCGCAUAUGUUCUGGGGGAAGAAGCAAGGUCGGAGUGCUUGCCGGGGACCCAAACACCGAGCCCAUGUCUUCAUGGGAGAUGAGGCAUUCCCUCUGAGGGUAAACCUGAUGCGAGAGCAUGUACAAAAUGUACUUUAUUUUACAGGAUUAUAUAAUGCGAACAUUAUAUAAUGAAGCAAACAUGGAAUUACUUUGAAAUGUGAAGGUGAAGACUCUGAAGAUGUCGAGUGAAAGUGUCUUUCAUCCCUCUAUGUACUCUGUGGAUGAAAGGGAUUGUCUGGCUCCUCGCCAUUAAACCUAGUUAAGGAGGAAACUUGACGCCUUUGCAGCCUGAAUGGAGAAUGUUUUAGGUACAAACCAGUCCUCGGGGAAUACGAUUUAGCAUUGCAUUGGAUGCCCGAGAGUCCUCUGCUCUUAUAGAACGUGAGGAGGGAGCCAUUGGGUUGAAGCAGGAACCAGAACCCAGGCAAACUAUGGAGAAACAGGAGGGAAGGACCAGGAAGGAGGAAAAGAAACUUAGAGGACUAGACUCUGUCUAGAUGUCUCUCCUUACGAUGGAAAUGAUGGCUAUGAUCAGAACACACCUCAUUCAGUCAGUUCCAAACUCACACCGGGGAGAGUAGAGGGAGGCUCUCUGUCCAGCUCAUCAACAUCCAAACCAAUCAAAACAGAGACUGAAGGACUGGGUGUUUGUCCAUUUGAUCCGUCAAGUGACCCCAAUACAUUCUCUUCGUCAGUGAACCUUGACCUUUCGGCAGCACAGAAUGAGAACAGUGUAAGUAUGAUGGGGGUGGAAGGUGGUGAAGGACUACUGUCAGGGUUUGAGGCGCUACAGAUACCACUACACAUGGAACAGUCCCUUCAAAAUCACCACAACACAGCAUUGUGUUGCAAGGUGUGUGGGAAACCCUGUAGACAUAUGGGCCAUUUAAACGCACACAUGCAAAUGCACAUGAAAGAGAAGCCAUUACUCUGCGGGGUUUGUGGUAAGUGCUUUAGCUCACCGGGGAGGUUGAAAGGGCAUUAGCGGAUUCACACAGGGGAGAAGCUCUAUCAGUGCCAUAUCUGUAGGAAACGGUGCAAUCAGACUGCACACCUGAAAGUGCAUCCGAGUGUCCACACAGGAGAAAAACCGUUCAGUUGUCCUGUGUGUGGCAAGUGCUUCAGCCACUCCGCCAAAAUUAAACGUCACCUCCAGACCCACAGCCGUGAAGGCACCUAGGCUUGUGAUUUUUUUUCUCUUUCUCUCAAAGAGCUAGGGAUUCUGCGACUUUCUUCAAGGAAUGUUCUCUGAGUAACGCUUCUCCAUGCCAUAGUCUCUCUCUCUCAUGCAAUAGGUUUUGUAUUGCAUUAUAGUCAAUUUAGUGUGUUUCUUUUUGUACAUGUCACUGAAUGGAGUUUUUGUGAAUCUUUAAAAACACAACAUUUUACGAGUUAGUUGCUAGUCUUUCUGAAUUAUACUGAACAAAAAUAUGGUGUGGCAUAUCAAGAAGCUUUUUAAAUAGCAAGGUUCAUUAGACAGGUGCACCUUGUGCUGGGGACAAUAAAAGGCCUCUGUAAAAUGGGCAGUUUUGUCACACAACACAGUGCUUACAGAUGUCUCAUGUUUUGAGGGAGUGUGCAGUUGACAUGCUGACUGAAGGAAUGUCCACCAGAGCUGUUGCCAGAAAAUGUUAUGUUAAUUUCUCUACCAUAAGCUGCCUCCAAUGUUGUUUUAGAGAAUUUGGCAGUACAUCCAACUGGCUGUUUAAUCAGCUUAUUGAUAUGCCACAACUGUCAGCUGGAUGGAUUUUCUUGGCAACGGAGAAAUGCUCACUAAUGCAGUUGCUUCACAAAUUUGUGCUCAAAAUUUUAGAGAAAUUAGAGAAAUUGUGCGAAUGGAAAGAUGGGACCAACAUGUUGUGCUUAUAUUUUUGUUCAGUAUAACUGUGUUGCUUGUUCGCGAGGGUUGGUCCUGAGCUAGGCUCUGCUGCACAUACAGGUAACUGCUAAAAUAAUGAAAGACGGCGCCGACAGACAUGGCAGCUCUGCUUCUAGAUCCUAAGCAACUUUGCGAUAUUACAGCACUGUUGGAGCUAGGAACACAACCAUUUCGCUACACCUGGAAUAACAUCUGCUAAACAUGUGUAUGUGACCAAUAAAAUUUGAUUCAAUUUAAUGGAAAUACUUCAGUAAAUGAGCAAUACGAAGUAUAUUGAAAGCAGGUGCUUCCACACAGGUGUGGUUCCUGAGUUAAUUACCCAAUUAACAUCCAAUCAUGCUUAGGGUCAUGUGAAAAAUGCUGGGCAGGCCAUUAUUUUGGCUAUUAUGGCAAUGCCCCCAUCCACAGAGCACGAGUGUUCAGUGAAUGGUUUGAUGAGCAUGAAAACAAUUUAAACCAUUUGCCAUGGCUGUCUCAGUCACCAGAUCUCAACCCAAUUGAACACAUUUAUGGGAGAUUCUGGAGCACCGCCUGAGACAGCAUUUUCCACCACCAUCGACAAAACACCAUAUUAUGGAUUUUCUUGUGGGAAUAUGGUGCUGCAGCCCUCCAAUAGAGUUCCAGACACUUGUAACAUCUAUGCCACAGUGCAUUGAAGUUGUUCUGGCUCGUGGUGCCCCAACGCCCUGUUAAGACACUUUAUGUUGGUGUUUCCUUUAAUUUUGCAGUUACCUUUAUAUUCACUAUAGCAAAGAUCUGUGGCCCAUUGUUUGGAAGUGAAACAGACAUUUUUGUCAGACCCAGAUCAAUGCUUCUCCUGGAAUUAAAAGUACUUUAGAUACUGUGUGUGUAUAUAUAUAUAUAUAUAAGGUCCUAGUAUUAAACAUGUCAUCUCCAAUAGUUCACUGUAAACAGUAAUGAGUUAGAAUGGUCCCCUGGAGGUUUUUGUCUAGUUCCCGGUUGGUCCCGGGGAUGUCCCCAUGGAUGUUUUUAGGACUUUCUUGAGACGUUGUGUCAUGUUCCCCUGGAGGUUUUUAUCUAGUUCCCAGUUUGUCCUGGGGACGUCACUUGAUAGGAAUUAUUAUUUAACAUGUCCUCACCACCUGUGAGGUUUUGCUGUUUAUAAUGUGCGGAUUCGUCAAUUCUUUGUCGAUACAUUCUGUCUGUAUAUUGUGUUUAUCAUCUAUUUUCACCGUUUCACCAAAUCAAAUUCCGGAUAUAUUUAAAUGUCCUUUAUGAAUAAAGGUAACUCUGUUUCUGAAUGUUA
ensembl:lncRNA